GUGGGAGUAACAUCCGUAGGCAACCUCGCCCGUAAGCUCGGGAUAACAUAGGGGAAACUCAUGCUAAUACCGGAUAGGGUUUUCUUUCGCAUGAGAGGAAACGGAAAGAUGGCGCAAGCUACCACUUACAGAUGGGCCUGCGGCGCAUUAGCUAGUUGGUGGGGUAACGGCCUACCAAGGCGACGAUGCGUAGCCGACCUGAGAGGGUGACCGGCCACACUGGGACUGAGACACGGCCCAGACUCCUACGGGAGGCAGCAGUAGGGAAUUUUCCACAAUGGACGAAAGUCUGAUGGAGCAACGCCGCGUGAACGAUGAAGGUUUUCGGAUUGUAAAGUUCUGUUGUCAGAGAAGAACAAGUGCCGUUUAAAUAGGGCGGUACCUUGACGGUACCUGACGAGAAAGCCACGGCUAACUACGUGCCAGCAGCCGCGGUAAUACGUAGGUGGCAAGCGUUGUCCGGAAUUAUUGGGCGUAAAGCGCGCGCAGGCGGCUAUGUAAGUCUGAUGUUAAAGCCCGGGGCUCAACCCCGGUUCGCAUCGGAAACUGUGUAGCUUGAGUGCAGGAGAGGAAAGUGGUAUUCCACGUGUAGCGGUGAAAUGCGUAGAGAUGUGGAGGAACACCAGUGGCGAAGGCGGCUUUCUGGUCUGUAACUGACACUGAGGCGCGAAUGCGUGGGGAGCACACAGGAUUAGAUACCCUGGUAGUUCCACGCCGUAAACAAUGAGUGCUACGGUGUUGGGGGUUUCCACUACCCUUAGUUGCCGCAGCUAACGCAUAGGACAUCAGCACUGGGUAGU
rnacentral:rRNA from 1 species